GACGAACGCUGGCGGCGUGCUUAACACAUGCAAGUCGAACGGUGAAAGCGGAGCUUGCUCCGCUGGAUCAGUGGCGAACGGGUGAGUAACACGUGGGCAACCUGCCCCUCACUUCGGGAUAACUCCGGGAAACCGGGGCUAAUACCGGAUAUGACCUCCUUGGGCAUCCUUGGAGGUGGAAAGUUUUUCGGUGAGGGAGGGGCCCGCGGCCUAUCAGCUUGUUGGUGAGGUAGUGGCUCACCAAGGCGACGACGGGUAGCCGGCCUGAGAGGGCGACCGGCCACACUGGGACUGAGACACGGCCCAGACUCCUACGGGAGGCAGCAGUGGGGAAUAUUGCGCAAUGGGCGAAAGCCUGACGCAGCAACGCCGCGUGCGGGAUGACGGCCUUCGGGUUGUAAACCGCUUUCAGCAGGGAAGAAGCCGCAAGGUGACGGUACCUGCAGAAGAAGCACCGGCUAACUACGUGCCAGCCGCCGCAGUAA
rnacentral:rRNA from 1 species